GCAUGCGAGUCGAGCGAGAACCCGCAAGGGGGACAGCGGCAAACGGGGUAGGAAUGGUCGGUAACGUACCCUUCGGACGGGGAUAGCCACGGGAAACUGUGGGUAAUACUCGAUAAACUCCUUGGACGUAACGGCUUAGGGAGCAAAGGUGAGAUUCCACCGGAGGAGCGGCUGACUUAGUAUUAGCUAGUUGGUGAGGUAAAAGCUUACCAAGGCAUCGAUGCUUAGGGGGUGUGAGAGCAUGGCCCCCACCACUGGGACUGAGAUACUGCCCAGACACCUACGGGUGGUUGCAGUCGAGAAUCUUCGGCAAUGGGCGAAAGCCUGACCGAGCGACGCCGCGUGUGGGAUGAAGGCCCUUGGGUUGUAAACCACUGUCAGGGGGGAUGAAAUGCGCGGGGGUACUCCCCUGCGUUUGACGGAGCCCCAGAGGAAGCACGGGCUAAGUUCGUGCCAGCAGCCGCGGUAAUACGAACUGUGCAAACGUUAUUCGGAAUCACUGGGCUUAAAGGGUGCGUAGGCGGCUUAUUAAGCAGGGUGUGAAAUCCCCCGGCUCAACCGGGGAAUAGCGCUCUGAACUGAUGAGCUUGAGUGAGGCAGGGGUGCGCGGAACUUCCAGUGGAGCGGUGAAAUGUGUUGAUAUUGGAAGGAACACCGGAGGCGAAAGCGGCGCACUGGGUCUUGUCUGACGCUGAGGCACGAAAGNCAGGGGAGCAAACGGGAUUAGAUACCCCCGGUAGUCCUGGCCGUAAACGAUGAGUACUAGUGGGGGAGG
rnacentral:rRNA from 1 species